ensembl:lncRNA
CAAACACGUGUUCAAGCAGGUAAAAAGAGCAUUCUAAAAACCUCCAUUGUCUCACAAGUCAAACGCAGCCACGCAGCAUACAACAAGCAAGUUCUUUCAUCAGCACGAGAACCAAUUCCUUGUCAUCAUGACCCCUGUAACUGCUCCAGCUGAUACCCAAAUCUCCCGACGCACAGCUUUUCUAAAAGGCAAGCCCAAAGCACUGGGGACUGUGCAGAUCAUGAUCGGAAUCAUGACUCUCUUGUUCGGUAUCGUUUUAACCUCGCUUACUGUUACACCUGCAAUCAUCAGUGGUAUCACUGUGUGGGGAUCACUUAUCGUACGUUAUUUUUGGUCUGCAUUUACAGCACCUUACUUUCCACAUUACAAUUCGGAAGUAAUUUAACUUAACUCA